UACAGAGGGGGCAAGCGUUGUUCGGAAUUACUGGGCGUAAAGGGCGCGUAGGCGGCCUCCUAAGUCAGACGUGAAAUCCCUCGGCUCAACCGGGGAACUGCGUCUGAUACUGGGAGGCUUGAAUCCGGGAGAGGGAUGUGGAAUUCCAGGUGUAGCGGUGAAAUUCGUAGAUAUGGGGAGGAACACCGGUGGCGAAGGCGGCCAUCUGGACGGUAACUGACGCUGAGACGCGAAAAGCGUGGGGGAGCAAACAGG
rnacentral:rRNA from 1 species